AUACAGAGGGUGCAAGCGUUAAUCGGAUUUACUGGGCGUAAAGCGCGCGUAGGUGGCUAAUUAAGUCAAAUGUGAAAUCCCCGAGCUUAACUUGGGAAUUGCAUUCGAUACUGGUUAGCUAGAGUAUGGGAGAGGAUGGUAGAAUUCCAGGUGUAGCGGUGAAAUGCGUAGAGAUCUGGAGGAAUACCGAUGGCGAAGGCAGCCAUCUGGCCUAAUACGGACACUGAGGUGCGAAAGCAUGGGGAGCAAACAGGAUUAGAUACCCUGGUAGUCCAUGCCGUAAACGAUGUCUACUAGCCGUUGGGGCCCUUGAGGCUUUAGUGGCGCAGCUAACGCGAUAAGUAGACCGCCUGGGGAGUACGGUCGCAAGACUAAAACUCAAAUGAAUUGGCGGGG
rnacentral:rRNA from 1 species